rnacentral:rRNA from 1 species
GGGCCCGCACAAGCGGUGGAGCAUGUGGUUUAAUUCGAUGAUACGCGAGGAACCUUACCAGGGCUUAAAUGCAGUCUGACGUAUCUGGAAACAGAUAUUUCUUCGGACAAAUCACAAGGUGCUGCAUGGUUGUCGUCAGCUCGUGCCGUGAGGUGUCAGGUUAAGUCCUAUAACGAGCGCAACCCCUGUUGUUAGUUGCCAGCGAGUAAUGUCGGGAACUCUAGCAAGACUGCCGGUGCAAACCGUGAGGAAGGUGGGGAUGACGUCAAAUCAUCACGGCCCUUACGUCCUGGGCCACACACGUGCUACAAUGGUAGGGACAGAGGGCAGCUACCCCGCGAGGGGAUGCGAAUCUUCAAACCCUAUCACAGUUCGGAUCGCAGUCUGCAACUCGACUGCGUGAAGCUGGAAUCGCUAGUAAUCG